rnacentral:rRNA from 1 species
AUUGAACUCUGGCGGCCGGCCUAACACAUGCCAGUCGAGCGAGCGGCGGACGGGUUAGUAAUGUAUGGGGACUGCCCGAUAGAGGGGGAUAACUACUGGAAACGGUGGCUAAUAGCGCAUACUAUCGGGUAACCCAUAUGGGAUUAGCUAGUAGGUGGGGUAAAGGCUCACCGAGGCGACGAUCUCUAGUUGGUAUGUGAGGAUGAUCUGCCACACUGGAACGGAGACACGGCCCAAAGUCCGACGGAGGAAGCAGUAGGGAAUAUUGCACAAUGGGCGCAAGCCUGAUGCAGCCAUGCCGCGUGUAUGAAGAAGGCCUUAGGGUUGUAGAGUACUUUCAGCGUGGAGGCGUUACCCGCAGAAGAAGCACCGGCUAACGCCGUGCCAGCAGCCGCGGUAAUUC